UACGGAGGGUGCAAGCGUUAUCCGGAUUCACUGGGUUUAAAGGGUGCGUAGGCGGAAUGAUAAGUCAGUGGUGAAAGCCCCGAGCUCAACUUGGGAAUUGCCAUUGAUACUGUUGUUCUUGAGUUCGGUUGAGGUAGGCGGAAUGUUGCAUGUAGCGGUGAAAUGCUUAGAUAUGCAACAGAACACCGAUUGCGAAGGCAGCUUACCAAGCCGACACUGACGCUGAUGCACGAAAGCGUGGGGAUCAAACAGG
rnacentral:rRNA from 1 species